rnacentral:rRNA from 1 species
GUCUUUUUGAAUUAAAUUUAAAGUCUAACCUGCCCACUGAAUUUAUUUUAAAUGGCCGCAGUAUUCUAACUGUGCAAAGGUAGCAUAAUCAUUAGUCUUUUAAUUGAAGGCUGGUAUGAAUGGUUGGACGAGAUAUUAACUGUUUCAUAUAAAUUUAUAAUAGAAUUUUAUUUUUUAAUCAAAAAGUUAAAAUAUAUUUAAAAGACGAGAAGACCCUAUAAAUCUUUAUAUUUAUAUUAUUAUAUUUUUAUAGAUUUAUUUUAAUAUAAUAAUUAAUAAUAUUUUAUUGGGGUGAUAUUAAAAUUUAAUAAACUUUUAAUUUAAAUAAAUCAUUAAUUUAUGAUUAAUUGAUCCGUUAAUAACGAUUAAAAAUUUAAGUUACUUUAGGGAUAACAGCGUAAUUUUUUUGGAGAGUUCAUAUCGAUAAAAAAGAUUGCGACCUCGAUGUUGGAUUAAGAAAUAUGUUUAGGUGUAGCAGCUUAAAUAAUAAGUCUGUUCGACUUUUAAAUUCUUACGUG